AGAGUUUGAUCAUGGCUCAGGACGAACGCUGGCGGUGUGCUUAACACAUGCAAGUCGAACGGGGUAUCAGGGUAGUAAUACCCGAAGUACCUAGUGGCGAACGGGUGCGUAACACGUGAGCAACCUACCCCAGAGCUUGGAAUAACACCGGGAAACCGGUGCUAAUACCGAAUACUCUCAUUCGGCCGCAUGACUGAAUGAGGAAAGAUUUAUCACUCUGGGACGGGCUCGCGGCCUAUCAGCUUGUUGGUGAGGUAACGGCUCACCAAGGCUACGACGGGUAGCUGGUCUGAGAGGACGAUCAGCCACACCGGGACUGAGACACGGCCCAGACUCCUACGGGAGGCAGCAGUGGGGAAUAUUGCGCAAUGGGCGAAAGCCUGACGCAGCAACGCCGCGUGGAGGAUGAAGGCUUUCGGGUUGUAAACUCCUUUCAGCAGGGACGAAACUGACGGUACCUGCAGAAGAAGCCCCGGCUAACUACGUGCCAGCAGCCGCGGUGAGACGUAGGGGGCAAGCGUUGUCCGGAUUUAUUGGGCGUAAAGAGCUCGUAGGCGGCUUGGCAAGUCGGAUGUGAAAUCUCCAGGCUUAACCUGGAGUCGCCAUCCGAUACUGCUAUGGCUAGAGUCCGGUAGAGGAUCGUGGAAUUCCUGGUGUAGCGGUGAAAUGCGCAGAUAUCAGGAGGAACACCAACGGCGAAGGCAGCGAUCUGGGCCGGUACUGACGCUGAGGAGCGAAAGCGUGGGGAGCGAACAGGAUUAGAUACCCUGGUAGUCCACGCCCUAAACGUUGGGCACUAGGUGUGGGGCCUAUUUCGACGGGUUCCGUGCCGUAGUUAACGCAUUAAGUGCCCCGCCUGGGGAGUACGGUCGCAAGGCUAAAACUCAAAAGGAAUUGACGGGGGCCCGCACAAGCGGCGGAGCAUGCGGCUUAAUUCGAUGCAACGCGAAAAACCUCACCUGGGUUUGACAUGUAGGGAAAAGCUGCAGAGAUGCAGUGUCCUUUUAGGGCCCUUCACAGGUGGUGCAUGGCUGUCGUCAGCUCGUGUCGUGAGAUGUUGGGUUAAGUCCCGCAACGAGCGCAACCCUUGCCCUAUGUUGCCAGCGGAUAAUGCCGGGGACUCGUAGGGGACUGCCGGAGUUAAUUCGGAGGAAGGUGGGGACGACGUCAAGUCAUCAUGCCCCUUACAUCCAGGGCUGCACGCAUGCUACAAUGGCCGGUACAAAGGGUCGCCAACCCGCGAGGGGGAGCCAAUCCCAUAAAGCCGGUCUCAGUUCGGAUCGCAGUCUGCAACUCGACUGCGUGAAGUCGGAGUCGCUAGUAAUCCCGAAUCAGCACGUCGGGGUGAAUACGUUCCCGGGCCUUGUACACACCGCCCGUCACACCACGAAAGUCGGCAACACCCGAAGCCGGUGGCCCAACCAGUAAUGGAGGGAGCCGUCGAAGGUGGGGUCGGUGAUUGGGGUGAAGUCGUAACAAGGUAGCCGUA
rnacentral:rRNA from 1 species